rnacentral:lncRNA from 1 species
UCAGGUUUAAUUUUGUCAAUUUUAGGGUUUUUACGGUACAGGUUUUGGUGGUAAUUGAAUUAAUUUUUGAAUAGGAGAGAAGAUGUGGGCGGCUUCCUGCCUAGCAUCUUGUUGCGCUGGGUGCGCAUGCAGUGCCUGCCAGACCGUGGUAUCAGGGAUAAGCCGCCGAUCUGCUAGAAUUGCGUAUUGUGGUCUAUUCGCACUGUCACUGAUCGUUUCAUGGAUUCUUAGUGAGGUUGCUGCACCUCUUAUGGAGAAGAUCCCUUGUAAGAUGUUUUUUUUUCUGUGAAGUUGUCAAGAGAAUUGUGGUUUUUAUAAAUCAACUGUUUGAGGUUGCUGCACCUUUUUAAUAUUAGUUUUGGAACCUAUAAGAAAAUUUGAAAGGGAUUGAGGAUGUUUCAUUAAAUACUACACCGGAACGAGUUUAUGUUGUACAUAAAUGUUAUUACUUUUUGUACAAUGUUAUUGUUAGUUCUGAUUGAUUGUAACUGGGACCCAAAUUGUACAUAUGGGUAGACGGUAGUGCAGGGAUAGUCUUGCUCAUGUUCAGUUUUACCUGGUGAAUAGUGAUUGUAGUACAAGUCUUAGAUAAGUUAAUGUAAAUUCCCACUGUUUCCCAUCAGUUCUAACAACUCAAAAGGCAUUAGGCAUAUGAUGCUUUCAACCAUGGAACUCUCAUGUUCUAAUGACCAGUUAACUUUUACUAGAUUGUGGCUUUAGCACAAAUAUGCUUUGACUGAAUUCCCUGAUUGAUGCUGUUGAAAUUGGGUUUAUUUAUUAAGUUGAUGAUGACGAUGAGAUGCAAUGAUCUUCCAAAUGAAAUUCAUACGGUCAUUUUGAAGUUCUGCAUGCCACUGUGUUAUUCAAAUUGGUUUAGCAGACGUGCUGAUUUCUUGUUGGAUACCAAUGCAGGGAUUAAUCAUUUUCACAAAACUCCAAAUAGGGAGUGGUUUGAAACUGAUGCAGUGCUGCGAGUUAGUUUGGGAAACUUCCUAUUUUUCUCUGUUCUAUCUCUUCUUAUGGUUGGUGUAAAAAAUCAGAAGGAUCCUCGUGAUGGUUUGCACCAUGGUGGGUGGAUGAUGAAAGUUAUCUGCUGGUGUCUCCUAGUCAUCUUUAUGUUUUUCCUUCCAAAUGAGAUUAUCAGCUUCUAUGGUAAGGCAUUUUCUCCAUCAGUUGCUUAGUGCGUAAUCACACGAGGGUUUAUAUGAUUAUUUUUCCUUUCUAUUUUAAAGCAUUUCCUCGUGAAAAUCUUAUUUAUUUCAGGUUUACUGAAAACACCAAAAAACAAUUUCUAAAUGAGAUACCAUUCAUUAUACCAUCCGCUUAUAGGACUUGCAUCACGUAUAGUCCAUUGUAAACAUAUAAUUUUAAAGUCUCCUGUUCAGCAUCAUGGAAGAAUUUACUUAUCUGGAGCAAAAGUGAAAUGAGUUAACCUUACGAUAAAUGAUGUUAAUCAAGGAAGAGGCUUAUCCAAGUUAGCAGCAAAGACAUGUAGACAAUGAAACUGGGACAGAGUUGAUCUUAGAUAAAAUAUACCGCAAAUUAUAUUACACGCCCGCGUGAUGGGCUGGGUUUUGUUUCGGUUGAUGGUAGAUUUAUUGCAAUUAUAUAUGUCUCAGCUGCAUGAGUAUUGUUUAAUGUGAGGUGAUUUUUGUCAGCAGCUAUGGAUCAGAAAGGUCUUUAAUUCUUACUUCUAAGAGUUUGGUAGGAUGCCAAGAUAAUAGAAGUGAGACCAGGCUUAAAUGUGAAGCUGUUUCUGAGUUUCAUUUCUUCAUCUCUUAGCAUUAGCCUUGUCUAGUGUAUAUAUUCACAUCAAAAGUUGUGCAGUCCUCGACACAACUUGACACGGUUAUCUUGUUGCAAAAUUUCGAUUGAAUAUCUUUUAUCAGCCUUCUUUCUUUUCUUUUACUUUUAUGUUUUCAUGUGUAAAUUAAUCCUAAUGUUUGGUUUGCAAAUGCAGAAACGACAUCAAAAUUUGGUUCUGGCUUAUUCCUUCUUGUUCAAGUUGUGCUUUUGUUGGAUUUUGUGCAUGGUUGGAAUGACAAGUGGGUCGGAUAUGAUGAGCAGUUCUGGUCAGUUGCUUGUAUUGUUUCUCCAACUGUCAUUUUUCCAUUUUUUUUUGUUUUUUGUUUGCUAAAUUGCACUUUUGUGAUCUAUAGGCGCUAUCUUUGGCAUUUGAAUCUUUUGUAGUAAUAUCUUUUUGAAUUAUGCAGGUAUGCCGCCUUGCUUGUUGUUUCAUUGGUUUGCUAUGUGGCAACAUUUUCCUUCGCCGGCCUUCUCUUUUAUUUGUUUACUCCAUCUGGACAUGAUUGCGGACUCAACACCUUUUUCAUUGUGAUGACCCUGAUUUUUGCAUUCCUUUUUGCUAUAGUUACGCUGCAUCCUGUUGUAAGUUCCGACCUUUCAUUUUCUCUUAGCUAAGCCAAUCAUUAUCUUUCAUUCUUACUCUUUGGUUGAGCCUUUUUACACAAAGUUUAGUUCAUUUAACAAGCUGCUUAUAUUGUUGAUCUCACUGGUUAAACCUCAAGGGGUGGGAGUAAUGGCAGAGGCCUUGAGGAAUGACCUCAAGAUUGCUAGUUCCAAUCCCCAUAUUUAGGUUGCCUAUAUAUAUAUAUAUAUGAGUGUGUGUGUGUGUGUGUGUGUGUGUGUGUGUAUUGAUCUCCUUGUUUCAACUGCCACAAAAUAGGUAAGUGGCAGCAUUUUGCCAGCCUCAGUUAUAUCUUUGUACUGCACAUACCUCUGCUAUAGUGGACUUGCUAGUGAACCAAGGGAAUAUGCUUGCAAUGGUCUUCACAAGCAUUCUAAAGCGGUCAGCACUGGCACACUCACUGUUGGGCUGCUUACAACUGUGUUAUCUGUUGUCUAUUCUGCUGUUCGUGCGGGGUCUUCUACAACUUUGCUCUCCCCCCCAAGUUCACCUCGAGCAGGUCAGUGUCUAAUUAUUGAUGAACGCAUUGUGCAUUUGGAAGUGCAUUUCGUCUUCAUGCUUUAUGAAGUAAAUGAGUUUUUGAAGUUUUCUUCUGGUAAAAAAAGUAUGCUGAUUCCAAGUGUUGAUUUCACAAAACCAUGUUUGGUAAAGACACGCUGAUUCCAAGUGUUGGUCAAGUUUGUUUAUUCUGAGAUAUUCAAUUGAUCUGAUUUGGUGUUUAGAGAUUUGCAUAUUCCUCAUCCUAUUGGUCAAUUGUUUGCUUUCUUUCAAAGAUGCCAACAUUUAUCACAACUGAUUCAACUUUUAUAUCAUAUGGUGGUGUUUUUGGCAAAAGGUGUUAUUAAAACACUGCUAGUGCAUUUACUCUUAUUGUCGCGAUUAACAGGAUUGGAUUAACCGACUACAGCUGAAAUCUAACAUCUUGAAUUUCCUGGUGAAGGUGCUGGGAAGCCUCUGCUUCCUCUGGACAAGGCAGAUGAGCAUGAAGAGGAAAAAAACGCCAAGCCGGUCACAUACUCGUAUUCCUUCUUCCAUAUUAUCUUCUCUCUUGCCAGCAUGUACUCGGCAAUGCUUCUCACUGGGUGGUCGACUUCAGUUGGGGAGAGUGGUAAGUUGGUGGAUGUGGGGUGGGCAUCAGUCUGGGUCAGAAUCUUGACUGGGUGGGCAACUGCAGGUCUGUUUAUUUGGUCAAUGGUUGCCCCUCAUCUGUUCCCGGACAGGGAGUUCUGAGCAUAGUAAGCUGAAGUUGAACACGUAAUUGAUAUUUCUGUGUAGAGGGUGGUAUGUUGUUCUGUUUAUAUUGACGUGUUAGAGAAUGAAAGCAUGUUUGUGGAAAUUGGAUACAUCUGAUGUUGUGGUAAUGUAACCCAGAACUGUUUCUGGAUAUCAUUUCAAUUUCUAAAUAAAUACAAUCUGGUUUGGUGUUUGUUUUUCAAAAUAAUUCCAUUCUCAUGCUUGGUGGUUAAUUUUUAAUUUUAGAACAGGAGUAUAUAAUAUUAAUAAAGUGAGUGCCUUUGAGCGACCUCUUGAUAGCAGUUAACAUAUGGCAGGCUUAAAAUAUAGUUUCAAAUUCAAGCAAAAAUUAAUAUUCAAGAUAACAAUCAAUAGCAAGCAAUCAUGCGUAUUCUUUCCAUCUGCUCCUCAAUCUCUCUAAACUAAAAAAAUGCAAAAUUAAAAAUCCAAUGGAUAAGAUCUGCCCAUUAAAUUUCUUGAGACAAUUGGGAACCAUCCUAACAGACGGAGGCAGAGGAGAGCAAUAGAUCUGAAUUUAUUAAAAUGUUGGCCAAAAGACAAGGUUGCUCACUUUCUACAAGAGUAUAGAUUCAAACUACCCUUCCUUUGUUUUGACCAUCAAGAAACGAAAUACUAGUACUACUCUCAUUACAAGGCAAUCAAAACAAGAACAGAACCAUUAAAAACAAGGCCAUGCUCAGCCUUCUGCUUUUAUAAAAUUAAACAUGAGUUAAUCAAAAUAUAGCAACUGGAUACUGUAUAAAUUGAACUUAAUUAAAACCACACACUAUUAAGUUAAUGUAAUUUUUUUGACAUGAUGUCAAAUGGAAAUGGCAAGGAAUUAUCACAGCUAUGAUGUACUGCACAAUACCAACCCAACUUUUUCUUAAAGCAAUUGAAUCACCAUCCACUAUAUCCAUAAAACCAUAUAAUAGAUGACUGCUGUUGAGUUUCUCAUGGCAUUGUGAGGCUUCCACAAAAACUCAGGGAGCAAUGAUGAUACGGCUAUGAGCAGCAACCUGAAAGUAAUUUAUUUUUUAAGAAAAUAAUGCCAAGAAGUUAAUCUUUUACCAAAAAAAGGUAUUAACCCAAAACAAAUGACAAGCACCUGCUAGUUACUUUUGGUGUACACUAGUUUCUUAUCCAAAGCCCUAGUAUUUUCCAUUACAAAAAUAGAGUAAAGUAAAUUUUAAAAAAAAAGAAGAGCAUAACUUAAAAAAAGAAACAAAGAUACACACACAAAAAGCAUCCUGGGACUUUGUCACGCAAACAAGCAGGAAAAAAAAUAUAGGCAAAAGAAUAUCACAACAAAAUAUGCAAGUAGGAAAUGCUUAAGAAGUUGGAAGUUGCCAAGACUCCCCCUCCUAUAUUCAAUGUUCAACAAGUAUGUGGUUGUGAGAAUAUUGACAUUAUCGACAUAUUAUUUUACGAACAACCCAGUAGUCCAUACUAAUACAUCUUAGGCAAUUAGACUUAAAUCAGUCCCACACCAAUUACUGAUACUUGUAUCAACAGUCACUAAUUCGCGAGGCACAUGAGCUCCGUUAUUAGCCUUGAUUUUGGAAUUUGGUGGUACUUAGAACGUCAGUACAAUAUUUUCCCACAAGAAAAACUAAUAACAUUGACAAUGAGAUUCUUGAAAAAUCACAAGUACCAUAAAAAAACACCUUAAAUAAUCAGUAAAAAAGGCUAAGAAGAAACACCCACCUUGAAUACAACUUUCCCACAAAGUAAAACUAAAACCUGUCCUUCAAAAAGAUAUUUAUAUAUAUAUAUAUAUAUAUAUAUAUAUAGGGAAACGAUCCGUGGACAACGUUAGCUGGGAACCCGUGGACAACUAACGCUCAUCCAGUCGUCCAAAAUUGGAGUUAAUGGCUGAGAUGAGCUCCCAGCUGCUAGAGGGAGUAGCGGCCAGCAAUAAUUUUAAAAUUCCUCUUUCCUGGCCGCUAGAGGGAGUAGCGGCCAGUCAAAACGUUGUCGUUUUGGCNNNNNNNNNNNNNNNNNNNNNNNNNNNNNNNNNNNNNNNNNNNNNNNNNNNNNNNNNNNNNNNNNNNNNNNNNNNNNNNNNNNNNNNNNNNNNNNNNNNNUAAGAAAUAAUGAAGGAAUGAACUUCUAUUUAUAGAAGAAUGGACUGAAUAGUAACCAAUCCAUGAACGGUCCAGAUCAAUUUACUUUAAACGAACGGUCCAAAUUGAUAUACAAUAAAAUAUAUUCUAUUCUAUUUAUAAUCUAAUAAAACGAAUAACUUUUAAAAAGAUUUUACUAUGCAGGCACUAUGCAAAUACUAUGCAUAAUAAAAUAUAAUAUAUUCUAAUUAUUGUCUAAUAAAACGAAUAAUUUUAUAAAAGUAUUCUGUUUUAUAUAAAAAGAUUUUACUAUUAGCCUAAUAAAACGAAUAACUUUAUAAAAGUAUUCUGUUUUAUAUAAAAAGCUUUUAUAUUUUAUUACACUAAUAAUACUAAUAAAAUAAAAUUUCAUCAUCAUUAUUAUUAUUCACACUAUUAAUCGACCAGGUCGUUCCCAGGAAAGAGGGGACUUUCUAAUAAGGAUUUCUUUCUAUUGGCGCGCAAUUAGGUGACCAAACCUCUCAUUGACAUAACUUAUAGACAUCGUUAAUAUUGCAAAUAAUAAUAUUAAUAACUCUGUUAUCUCAAUUAUUGAUUUAAUAAUAUAAAAAAAAUAUUGACAAUAAUUGAAUCAAAUAACGUGAGAUAUUAUGCAACAAUUACUGAAGCAAUAAUUGAAUAAGACUGAGUGAUUUCUCACGUAAGCAUCAAUAAUCAAUACAAUGUGCUACUAUGCAAUCACGCGUAUUCCUGUACUUUUAACACUGGGUGUUUCAACAGUUAACGGUAAAACUUCCGCCGUUAUUUUCAUAAAAUAUUUUUUUGUCAUUUUCUUAAUCUAACAAUAAUUCCGUUGUGGGGUCCACCAAUGAUUGUGCCGUCGUACGAAUAUUCUCUGUUAAAACGAAUAUUCCCCGACCAAUCGAAUAUUAUAUAACAACUUGCGUACUUUGCAAAAUUUAUAAAUAUUAUCCACAACUAUAACAUUAUAUCAAAUUCAUUCAAAAAUGAUAAUUAUAAAAAAUUCAUCUUUAUUCAUAAAAGUUGGGGUCUUACAGUCAAAUUGUAUAUAAGUUUUAAUAUUCUAUUUUAAAAUUCAUCAGAAAGAUAAAAGUAAAAAAAAAUCUUUAACGUAAAAAUAAUAUAAAAAACUAAUUAUUAAUAUUUUUAAAAAUUUUAUAAAAAAAAUCACUCACUAAGAAAGAUAAAUAAAAAGGAACGAUGGAGUAUAAUUUAUACCGACAAAGUUUGGAACCGGUUGAUGGGUCGGGUUUUAGUAACUCGCUGUCUCCGAAGUCCGAACAGUGACAUAAAGACAAAGUCAUGCUAUAUCACAGCCGGGUGUCCAUAGAAAAAGCACCGUCUCAUCAAAUAGAAUUCGUAGUCCAAGUCGUCAAGCUAUUCUUCUCCGUAUUCCGCUAUUGUAUACGCCUGAUCAUCGUCCCGCCGCUAGAAGGUACACAAUCAUUCGUCCAUAUUUCCAUUGAAUCAAUUUAAAACUUUUUAAAACCAGGUUCGAGAAUUAUUAUAAUAAUUUAUUAAUCAGAGCUUAUUCAUUCUUUAUUGAAGUAAUUAUCAUGUUGAUGAUCAGGUUUAAUUUUGUCAAUUUUAGGGUUUUUACGGUACAGGUUUUGGUGGUAAUUGAAUUAAUUUUUGAAUAGGAGAGAAGAUGUGGGCGGCUUCCUGCCUAGCAUCUUGUUGCGCUGGGUGCGCAUGCAGUGCCUGCCAGACCGUGGUAUCAGGGAUAAGCCGCCGAUCUGCUAGAAUUGCGUAUUGUGGUCUAUUCGCACUGUCACUGAUCGUUUCAUGGAUUCUUAGUGAGGUUGCUGCACCUCUUAUGGAGAAGAUCCCCUGUAAGAUGUUUUUUUUUCUUUCUUUGAAGUUGUCAAGAGAAUUGUGGUUUUUAUAAAUCAACUGUUUGAGGUUGCUGCACCUUUUUAAUAUCAGUUUUGGAACCUAUAAAAUGAAAAUUUGAAAGGGAUUGAGAAUGUUUCAUUAAAUACUACAUAAAUGUUAUUACUUUUUGUACAAUGUUAUUGUUAAUUCUGAUUGAUUGUAACUGGGACCCAAAUUGUACAUUUGGGUAGACGGUAGUGCAGGGAUAGUCUUGCUCAUGUUCAGUUUUGCCUGGUGAAUAGUGAUUGUAGUACAAGUCUUAGAUAGUUAAUGUAAAUUCCCACUGUUUCCCAUCAGUUCUAACAACUCAAAAGGCAUUAGGCAUAUGAUGCGUU